ACAUUGUGAGUAAUUAAUAAUUAUGAAAGCGAAAAAUUAUGGCGGUAUUUUGAGCUUUUCAGAGGAAUUGCUCUUGUAAGGGAUAAAACACCAAAAUCUUACUUAGAUUUGUGAUUUCAAUUGUGAUACCACUAUUAAGAACAAUUUAUAACUUUAAUUGUUUAAAUUUACAAAACUAAAAUAUAUUAAGGUCCAGGUGCAGUAAAAAUUUAAGGCAUGAAGUGAAUUACAUUACUUUUUAGUGAGAUAAAUUUAUAACAAUAUUUAGGAUUUGAAAGUAAAAUUAAAAUAGGAUGUUCAUUUGAAUUAAGCUCUAAAAUAUG
rnacentral:rRNA from 1 species